UAUCUAUGAAAAGAUCUAUUAUAAGACAUUGGGAUACAUAAAGGUUUAGAAGUUCCAUGAACUGCCAUCUGUAGCUGUAGACUCAGAAAACUGGUGGUGUAGUUUAGUUCCAGAGCCUGAAAACUGGAGAGCUGAUGGGUAGUUUCCAGCAGGAAUUGGAAGGCUUGAGAACCAGGAGCAAUGAGAAGGGAAGAUCAAUUUCUCAGCUCAACACUCAGGCAGAAUGAAUUCACCCUUCCUCUAACUUGUUGUUCUAUUCAGGACCUAUAUCAAUGAGGGCCAUCUGCCUUACUCAGUCAACCAAUUCAAAUGUUAAUGUUCUUCAAGAACAUGCUCACAGACAUGCCAUAAGCAAUCUUUAACCGAAUAUCUAGACAUCCCAUGGCCCAUUCAAGUUGAUUCAUAAAAUCAAAUAUCACAGGAUGUGACUGACUCUUCUUUCCUAGCAUUUAGCUUUAUUCUUUAAUAAAAAAUCUAAACUAGUAAUUAUUUUUGCUUAUUUUGCUUUCUUGGUAGAGAACUCUGAUGGUCAGUUUUAUGUAUCACCUUGAGUAAGCUAUAGUCUAGUAGGUAAUUAUUUUAAUCAAAUGUUAAUCAAAAUAUUACUGUGAAAGUAUUUUGCAGAUGUGUUUAAAGUCCAUAAUUAUCUGACUUUAAAUAAGGAAGAUUAUUGUAGACUGGGUAGGCCUGAUUGAAUCAGGUGAAAGGUCUUAUAAGCAGACCUGAGGCUUGAUUGAAUCAGGUGAAAGGUAUUAAGAAUCGAACUGACGCUUCUCUGAAGAAGACAUUCUACCUGUGAGCAGCUUCUGCUUGUGCCUGAGAAUUUCCAGCUUGUCCUUCCUAAGGAACUGUCCUCUAGAUUUCAGAGUUGCCUUGCCAUUCACCACAAUCAUCUAAAAUUAAGACAGAGGACAGCUCUGGGAAAAGUCAUGCCCUGGAAUCUUCAGUUGGUGCACAGCAGUUUAGAGAGUGGCAUGGGGGAUUCAGGCAGAGACAGUGGCUGAAAUGGAAUCCAUUGCAUCAAAUGGCUUAUGUGCUGACUGAAUUUAAAAUUGGACUUUCUUAUUCUCUGAUUUUUGCUUCAAAGAUGCGUAAAGUGGGAGGCAGGUGUCUUGUAAAUAAAAAAAAUGUGAAUCAGCUACAAAACAUGGAAUGGGGGAGAAUAAAGAGCUUCCACUGUUCAUUAAAAAAUAAGAAGACGAAGAAUAGGAGUUUGUACAACAUUAACAGUCUUGGCAGUUUCCAGAAAUCAGUUUUUGUACAGUGAUACAAAUAUCAAGAUGCUUCUCAAGAUCUAGCUUUCACUAAAUUUUACCAAGAGGGUUGGGAUAACUUCAUCUGAAAAACAACACUAGAAUCUCUAAAAUAUGCUUUUCCCUUUAUGUACCAAGAUUUUUUUUUAAGAAAUAGAAAUAAAAUGUCUAUCUUCCAGAAGAGUCUUUGGAAAAUAAGAUAUAUUUGUAGCAUGAUAGAGGGAAAAAUGUCUACCAUGUGCCCUACGUAUUAUGUCACACCUAAAUAUUUGCAAUACAAGUUCCAUCCAAUAUUUUGAAAACAUAUUGGUUAACUUAAAUGAUUAACACAAACUACAUUAUUUUAAAGAGAAGGAAGGCAGCCAACUUCAGCCUCAGUAGGAUGAGGCAUCAUUCUGUUGCAAGGUAGCAGAUCCGAACAUAUUUUCAGUAUGUAUUAGAGUUUCCUUACUUUGGUUUUUCCAUCAAAAUCAUACACUAAAAUUCGAUAUUCCCC